GAUAAUUAAAACACAAACUGGUAGUUUAUUAGUUUAAUACAGUUGAUUAGCGAAUUUAUCAGAUCCAUUUUAAGCCAAAAAAAAAAAAGAUAAAGAAAAAGACAAUGUGCAUGGCUUGAUAUAUAUGCAUUUACGUUUGGCGGAAUAAGGGAAAAACAUAGACUAAACAAGUGCCUAAACUAUUGAGGUAAAUCAUUGCUUUACACUGCCAAACAAGUGAAACCAGAAGAGGUGACGUAUUUCAAAGUAAUAAAAUUUUUUUUUUUUAGGAAAAGAAAGAUAACUCCCAUUACUCAUCUUUUGAUUUUAAACCCGAAUUGUCUAAUCUUGUCUCAAAUUUUGAAAGAAAAGAAAAAUAAAGCAGACAAUCUAUGACUAGGGAGUAACGUGAAACAUAGUGUAUUCAAAUCUCACAUUCUUAGAACUUAAUAAGAUCGAAGAAACAAAACUAGCAAUAACGAAUUCUCCUUACUCCAACACACAAUUGUAUGGUACACAUAAAACAUACCCAU
rnacentral:lncRNA from 1 species